rnacentral:rRNA from 1 species
GACGAACGCUGGCGGGGUGUUUAACACAGGCAAGUCGAACGGAAAGGCCCUGCUUUUGUGGGGUGCUCGAGUGGCGAACGGGUGAGUAACACGUGAGUAACCUGCCCUUGACUUUGGGAUAACUUCAGGAAACUGGGGCUAAUACCGGAUAGGAGCUCCUGCUGCAUGGUGGGGGUUGGAAAGUUUCGGCGGUUGGGGAUGGACUCGCGGCUUAUCAGCUUGUUGGUGGGGUAGUGGCUUACCAAGGCUUUGACGGGUAGCCGGCCUGAGAGGGUGACCGGCCACAUUGGGACUGAGAUACGGCCCAGACUCCUACGGGAGGCAGCAGUGGGGAAUAUUGCACAAUGGGCGGAAGCCUGAUGCAGCAACGCCGCGUGCGGGAUGACGGCCUUCGGGUUGUAAACCGCUUUCGCCUGUGACGAAGCGUGAGUGACGGUAAUGGGUAAAGAAGCACCGGCUAACUACGUG